CUCUGUUUCAGAUGAUUCAGGGCCAAGGAG
rnacentral:ncRNA from 1 species